rnacentral:rRNA from 1 species
UACGAAGGGGGCUAGCGUUGCUCGGAAUUAUUGGGCGUAAAGGGCGCGUAGGCGGUUGGAUAAGUCUUGUGUGAAAUCUUCGGGCUCAACUCGAAGUCUGCACGAGAAACUAUCUGGCUUGAGUGUGGGAGAGGUGAGUGGAAUUCCUGGUGUAGCGGUGAAAUGCGUAGAUAUCAGGAGGAACACCAUGUGGCAAAGGCGCUCACUGGGACCGUACAUGAG